rnacentral:rRNA from 1 species
CCCAGACUCCUACGGGAGGCAGCAGUGGGGGAUAUUGCACAAUGGGGGAAACCCUGAUGCAGCGACGCCGCGUGGGCGAAGAAGUAUUUCGGUAUGUAAAGCCCUAUCAGCAGGGAAGAAGAAAUGACGGUACCUGAGUAAGAAGCACCGGCUAAAUACGUGCCAGCAGCCGCGGUAAUACGUAUGGUGCAAGCGUUAUCCGGAUUCACUGGGUGUAAAGGGAGCGUAGACGGCGACGCAAGUCUGGAGUGAAAGCCCGGGGCCCAACCCCGGGACUGCUCUGGAAACUGCGUCGCUGGAGUACGGGAGGGGCAGGCGGAAUUCCUGGUGUAGCGGUGAAAUGCGUAGAUAUCAGGAGGAACACCGGCGGCGAAGGCGGCCUGCUGGACCGUGACUGACGUUGAGGCUCGAGAGCGUGGGGAGCAAACAGGAUUAGAUCCCCCCGUA